rnacentral:rRNA from 1 species
AGUGUGAGAACAAUCCUUGGGGGCAACCCCACAGUGGUCUGUGGAUGUAAUGAGCCGCAACGCUGGUCUCAAUGCCGUUUGGGCUCUCUGCGGCGACCAUCCUUCCAUGGGAUGGCAGCUUGUGGUGGCCUGGGCGGCUUCCCGUUGUUUUGAGUGACUUGGGGCUUUUCCGACGGGGGGUUGGUCAGCUCCGGCGAAGUCCGCUCUCAUUCGGUGGCCACCCAAAGGGCGCAGCAGUGAAGGCUGUUGGCGGCUUCCUUUUCGGACUCCCGCUGCUUGAUUCUUCACCUUCUCCCUUCAUCAGGGGUACUCUGUUGUCAUUCUUCUCUUCGUCAGAGGGGUUUGACUGACCGUCCAAAAAAAAGGCGGACUCAAGAAAAAAACACUGCCUGCCCGAACCCAGUGGGCCGUUUCCAAAGUUUCUGCGGAUCUCUCAAGGCUUUUUGCGGAUACCCGCGGGAUGCGGUCGGCCGUGUACAGGAGAGCCACGGUGGCUUUUUCUCUCCCUCCCCACCUUUCCCCCUCUCGCAGGGGGUGAAGGAGGCGGACACUGAAAAACCCCGCGGCGCCAACCUCCUCGCGUUUGCGGGCCGUGAGCCAUCGGAAACAAUGGGACCCACCAGGGUCGAACGGAUGUGGAGGAUAGAGGUGAAAUUCUUAGACCCUCCACAGACGAACGGUGGCGAAGGCGUUUUACCGUAUAGUGUUCGUCGAUCAAGAACGAGAGUGCGGGGAGCGAAGACGAUCAGAUACCGUCGUAGUCCGCCCUGUAAAUGAUGCCGGCUCAGGAUUGGCAGUUGUUUGUGUUCCCCGAAUGACACCGUCCGCCCCUCCUCCCCCACAAGGAGAAAUCCACAAGCCCGUGGGUUCAGGGGGAAGUACACUCGCAAGUUUGAAACUUAAAGGAAUUGACGGAAUGACACCCCCAGGCGUGGAGUAUGCAGCUUAAUUUGACUCAACACGGGAAACCCUGCUGGGUCCGGACGGGGCAAGGAUUGACAGACCGCGAGCUCUUUCAUGAUUCCCCGAACGGUGGUGCAUGGCCAUUCCUGGUAGGUGGAGUGAUUUGUCUGGUUGAUUCUGAUAACGAGCGAGAUCUUUGCCUUGCAAUACGCACCGGUCUCGCCAAAACGGAGGAGAACUCUCCCUUUGGCCGUCCUUUCGAGGGCGGUUUUCUGGGGGACAACCUCUUCUCCGGAGGCCGGGUCUUGGGCCCCCUUCCAACAAAAAAAAGGGGGGGUCCAAAUGC